rnacentral:rRNA from 1 species
AGAGUUUGAUCCUGGCUCAGGACGAACGCUGGCGGCGUGCCUAAUACAUGCAAGUCGAACGCUUCUUUUUCCACCGGAGCUUGCUCCACCGGAAAAAGAGGAGUGGCGAACGGGUGAGUAACACGUGGGUAACCUGCCCAUCAGAAGGGGAUAACACUUGGAAACAGGUGCUAAUACCGUAUAACAAUCGAAACCGCAUGGUUUUGAUUUGAAAGGCGCUUUCGGGUGUCGCUGAUGGAUGGACCCGCGGUGCAUUAGCUAGUUGGUGAGGUAACGGCUCACCAAGGCCACGAUGCAUAGCCGACCUGAGAGGGUGAUCGGCCACAUUGGGACUGAGACACGGCCCAAACUCCUACGGGAGGCAGCAGUAGGGAAUCUUCGGCAAUGGACGAAAGUCUGACCGAGCAACGCCGCGUGAGUGAAGAAGGUUUUCGGAUCGUAAAACUCUGUUGUUAGAGAAGAACAAGGAUGAGAGUAACUGUUCAUCCCUUGACGGUAUCUAACCAGAAAGCCACGGCUAACUACGUGCCAGCAGCCGCGGUAAUACGUAGGUGGCAAGCGUUGUCCGGAUUUAUUGGGCGUAAAGCGAGCGCAGGCGGUUUCUUAAGUCUGAUGUGAAAGCCCCCGGCUCAACCGGGGAGGGUCAUUGGAAACUGGGAGACUUGAGUGCAGAAGAGGAGAGUGGAAUUCCAUGUGUAGCGGUGAAAUGCGUAGAUAUAUGGAGGAACACCAGUGGCGAAGGCGGCUCUCUGGUCUGUAACUGACGCUGAGGCUCGAAAGCGUGGGGAGCAAACAGGAUUAGAUACCCUGGUAGUCCACGCCGUAAACGAUGAGUGCUAAGUGUUGGAGGGUUUCCGCCCUUCAGUGCUGCAGCUAACGCAUUAAGCACUCCGCCUGGGGAGUACGACCGCAAGGUUGAAACUCAAAGGAAUUGACGGGGGCCCGCACAAGCGGUGGAGCAUGUGGUUUAAUUCGAAGCAACGCGAAGAACCUUACCAGGUCUUGACAUCCUUUGACCACUCUAGAGAUAGAGCUUCCCCUUCGGGGGCAAAGUGACAGGUGGUGCAUGGUUGUCGUCAGCUCGUGUCGUGAGAUGUUGGGUUAAGUCCCGCAACGAGCGCAACCCUUAUUGUUAGUUGCCAUCAUUCAGUUGGGCACUCUAGCAAGACUGCCGGUGACAAACCGGAGGAAGGUGGGGAUGACGUCAAAUCAUCAUGCCCCUUAUGACCUGGGCUACACACGUGCUACAAUGGGAAGUACAACGAGUCGCGAAGUCGCGAGGCUAAGCUAAUCUCUUAAAGCUUCUCUCAGUUCGGAUUGCAGGCUGCAACUCGCCUGCAUGAAGCCGGAAUCGCUAGUAAUCGCGGAUCAGCACGCCGCGGUGAAUACGUUCCCGGGCCUUGUACACACCGCCCGUCACACCACGAGAGUUUGUAACACCCGAAGUCGGUGAGGUAACCUUUUGGAGCCAGCCGCCUAAGGUGGGAUAGAUGAUUGGGGUGAAGUCGUAACAAGGUAGCC